GACGAACGCUGGCGGCGUGCUUAACACAUGCAAGUCGAACGGAAAGGCCCUGCUUUUGUGGGGUGCUCGAGUGGCGAACGGGUGAGUAACACGUGAGUAACCUGCCCUUGACUUUGGGAUAACUUCUGGAAACUGGGGCUAAUACCGGAUAGGAGCUCCUGCUGCAUGGUGGGGGUUGGAAAGUUUCGGCGGUUGGGGAUGGACUCGCGGCUUAUCAGCUUGUUGGUGGGGUAGUGGCUUACCAAGGCUUUGACGGGUAGCCGGCCUGAGCGGGUGACCGGCCACAUUGGGACUGAGAUACGGCCCAGACUCCUACGGGAGGCAGCAGUGGGGAAUAUUGCACAAUGGGCGGAAGCCUGAUGCAGCAACGCCGCGUGCGGGAUGACGGCCUUCGGUUUGUAAACCGCUUUCGCCUGUGACGAAGCGUGAGUGACGGUAAUGUGUAAAGAAGCAGGGGCUAACUACGUG
rnacentral:rRNA from 1 species